UGCGUAGGCGGGUCUUUAAGUCAGGGGUGAAAUCCUGGAGCUCAACUCCAGAACUGCCUUUGAUACUGAAGAUCUUGAGUUCGGGAGAGGUGAGUGGAACUGCGAGUGUAGAGGUGAAAUUCGUAGAUAUUCGCAAGAACACCAGUGGCGAAGGCGGCUCACUGGCCCGAUACUGACGCUGAGGCACGAAAGGCUGGGAGCAAACA
rnacentral:rRNA from 1 species